rnacentral:lncRNA from 1 species
UGUCUGAAUAUUCCUCAUGCUGUUUCAUAUCUGGAUAUCAUAGGCCACUUACUGUUGUUGAUAAAAUGCUUUGCAUAUUUGAGUAUUACAGUAAUCAUCACCACCAUAAUCUUGGGCUGGUCCAGAGCAUAUAUUUAGAGCACUGUAGUGCCUGGUCACUGUCAGAGCAACUAUUUGCCCGGCUGGUUUCAAGCUGACAGUCAGAACACUGUGAACCUUGAGAGGAACAAAAAGACAACAGCAAGCAAAAGAGAUAUCAGCAGGGUGGAAAGCUAUGCAAAUCAGCAGCGCAGCCCAUUUGCCGCAGAUCACAACAAUGAGCUCAGAUGCGCUGGAAACUUAGCGGCUUCAAGAGUUCAAAGACUCAGACUGGAAAACCACCUUCAAUUCUGGGACUAUUUUCAUUUUCACUUCUGAAAACAUUACAUGGGAAAGGAAGAUGUGUGAGAUUGUAGUGUAUUCUGUCUAGUUUCACAGGACUACUCCAGAUACGUCUGCAAUCAUGAAGUAUAAGCUGCAGAAACAAGAACUUUAUGAGAAAGAGAACUUUAUUCAUCUUCAGCAGAUGCAUAUCAUAUUGAUGUGUAACCCAGAUUGGGACCUCAUCAGGAAAAAAAAUAGCCUGAGGCGUGGGUGGGUUCUUCAGGAAUUUCACUACUGCUUUUGCAUAUCCAGGGGAAAGAUCUUGAAUAAUUGCCCUGAAGUCAAAAGGAAUUGCUCCAGAUUUAGGAUUGCAAAAUAAGGACCCUUAAAUACUAAAGAAUUAUAAUAGGAUAGUGUGGAAAACAAUUCUGUAAUUUUUAAUGUUGUGUGAAUUUAAGAGAGAACAUGCUUUUCUGUAAUUUUUUGAUGCUGCUAUAUCACUGUACAUACCUAGAUAAUGCUCCUUCUAUUUACAGCACUUAGUUCCAGGAACUCCUGCAUAGCACUGUCGCUACCAAAAGGGAAAUUAAUACCAGUGGAUAUGUAUACGUAAAUACACAUUUUGUGAUGUUUAGCAUUUUUUUAGCAUAUAAACUUUUAUUUGUCCUGAAAAAAGAUCAGCCUGUUUCUUAAACUUCAUAAACAUAUGUUUUUUGUGAGCAACUUUACAGCAGGUUUGCUUUAAUUGGUUAUGAGCAAGAAAUCAACUGUAUUUUUGGCCAUUAGAACCAUACUUCACUAUCUUUAAAAAAAGCUUUUUUUAAUCAGAUUUUAAAAUAAAGUUCUGCUAAAAGAUGUGCA